rnacentral:rRNA from 1 species
CCUACGGGAGGCAGCAGUGAGGAAUAUUGCUCAAUGGCCGUAAGCCUGAACCAGCCACGCCGCGUGAAGGAAGAAGGUUCUCUGGUUUGUAACCUUCUUUUAUAGGGGAAUAAAGGUAUCCACGUGUGGAUCUUUGCAUGUACCCUACGAACAAGCAUCGGCUAACUCCGUGCCGGCAGCAGCGGUAAUACGGAGGGUGCGAGCGUUAUCCGGAUUUAUUGGGCUUAAAGUGUGCGUAGGUUGUUUUUUAAGUCAGGGGUGAAAGUUUGUGGCUCAACCAUACAAUUGCCGUUGAAACUGGAAGACUGGAGUGUGUGUGAGGUAGGCGGAAUGCGUGGUGUAGCAGUGAAAUGCAUAGAUAUCACGAAGAACACCGGUUGCGAAGGCAGCUUACUAGGCCAUAACUGACGCUGAGGCACGAAAGCGUGGGGAUCAAACAGGAUUAGAUACCCGAGUAGUC